rnacentral:lncRNA from 1 species
ACGCUAUCAUUUAGACCAACCCAUUAGAAAUAGGAACAAUUACAUAUUAUAGUACAUUUUUUAAAAUAAUUACAAUAAUAGUGUACUCAUAAAAUAUUUACACAAUUAAUAUAUUUAAAGUUUUAUUUAGUGAAUUAGUAUACAAUUAGGAUUCAUUAAUUUAGGGGAGCCCUAGACAAUUAAUAUUGUUGUGGAAAAGGCUAUUGUGACAACGAAUUCCAAUGAAGAUGAGCAGUGUAUUUGGGAAUCUCAAACGGGUGGUUCUUUCACUGUUACAAGGGACAUGGAUGAUGAACAACUUGACAGAGGAACUAAGAUUACUCUCUUCUUUAAGGAAGAUCACCUGGAGUAUUUGGAGGAGGGGGUAAUUUUAGAACUUAUGAAGAAGUAUUCUGAGUUUAAUGGCUCCAUCUUUCUCUAGGCUAAGAAGGCUAAUGCCAAAGGGAAAGAAAAGGACUCCACAAAAAAGAAAAUCAAGGGGGUUUCUCUUGAGUGGCAGCUCAUUGAUAAGAAACAUCCAAUUUGGUUGUGCAAAUUAGAAAAGAUAACCAAGAAUGAAUGUGCUUCUUCCUACAAUAGUUUGAUCUAUGAUUGGGAAGAAUAUCUUGUUGUCACUAUUCCGUCGAAAGACAACUUGAAAUUGAUGCCAUUCUUUUCAGUCCCAACAAAGUUCCAGUUGAUUCCUUUGAUACCUGCAAGAAUCAGAACAACCUUAAACUCUAUGUUGGCAUGCUGUUCAUCAUGGAUAAAGAUUCUCAAGUUCAUCAGGAAGAAUCUUAGAAGGGAAUGCGUUGAGAUAGUGGGGAAUGAAGGAUUAGUCAUGGGUGCAGCAACAUAUAUUUUAAAGUUACUUGAGAAGAAAUAUAACCAUUUUAAGAGCAUGGUGAUGAAAAAUAUGAGUAAAAUAAGAAGUUUGCAGCUUGAUGGACAACCAAUGACUUGUUAUUUUCAGCAGGAAGGGUUCCCCAAAGUGGCUUCCCAUUUUAGGAGUGAUGAUGGAGCUUAUUUCAAUUUGGUAAUUGAGAAUGGGAACACUGGUUAUAAUGUAAUUGUUACAACCAAGGAAGAUGAUAAGAAAUUUUGUGCAACCAACAAACAGUAUGAAAGAAAUAAUCCGGGUCAAGGAUUGAUUAAAAAGGAGGGAAUAUUGUCAAGAGUUGUAUAACGGCUUUACAAGUCUCUGGCUUAACUUGUAAAUUCAGCUAAAGAGUAAACGGCAUCGUAUGUCUUCCCAUCACGUGCAGGUGAUGCACGUGAAAUGCUUAGGUUAUGUUUGUCAAUUACCUUUCAUUAACCUUUGUUUAGGUUUGUUACUAUAAAUAGGAAAGUAGAUACUAAGAAGGGGAUCAGAAAAAUUAUCAAUUUACUUUUUGCUUUGUGUUUAUUUUUCUCUUCUCAUCUUUUUCCUUUAAGAUUUCCUUUAUUGCUUCUCAAGUAUGAAUUAUUUUCCAAAUCUGAGCUCUUGUCAUGACACACUCUAAACGGUGCCCCCUCCCACUACUACUGGGCUGACCUGACACGCAUUUUUAUGUCAAUAAGCUCCAGAAACGUCCAUGCCUAGAAACAAUACAUAGACAACUUGAUUUUUCCGCACUGAUCACCUACAUUUUCUUUUACCUAUGUCCUGUCAAUAGAACAAUUGACAGAACUAAAUCUUUUGAAAAUUUAAUGGGAUUUGUUACUAACUCAUAAUUUACUUAUGUAGAUUAAAAAACUUUAAGAAAACUAAACAAAAAAUUGUAGCAGGCUCAACUAAAACCAUAAGAAAUUCGAGAAAGACUGAAAAAAUAAUAAUAACUAUAUACUGUAUAACAAAAGCAUAUAAAAUUAAUCUUUGAAUUCAAAAACUUUAAAAAACCCUUAUUCUUCAUGAACCCACUUCUACUAAACAAUAUGUUUGGUUCCUCAGAAAACCAAAGGAAACAAAUUGCAUAGAAACUUUUCUUUCUCUUUUGUAAACUACUCCACAACACUAAAAAUUUCCCAAAUAAGCACAAUUCAGCUAUGCCUAUAAACAAUGUCAAUCAAUCAACAAAUAUGUUAAUUUGUCUAAUUAAAGGUUAAAAACUAUGUAAGACCUCUUUGUGUCAUUCCAUCAAACAGAUAGUGUACAAUUUCAGUAAAAAUCGAAUCUAACCUUAAAAAUCCAGCCCACUUCCUCCAACCUUAUCUGGAAUGAAUACUAAUAUAUAGAAAAUAAACACAACAAAACUCCAUAAUUAGACAAAAAAUCAAGGGAAAACCCCAAUAAAUAGUCUAAUCAAGGAAAAGACCCAACAGAAUCAUCAAUCACAUUUCAACAAGAAGACAAUAUCAUCAAUAAAUAGUCUAAUCAUAUAAGUGAAGAAUAAGAAGAAAUAAGCAUAGAUGAACAAUAACCCACUUAAACAAAUCAAUCAAACUCUUCUUCAAUUCAUUGCCCAAAAAAAUUCAUGAACAAUUUCUCAAGAAAAUUGACAUGGAAUUUGAAAAAGAAAUCCAAGACCCAGAUAAGAAAUCACCUCAAAGAGGGAGAGAGAAGGCUUAGUGGGUGCUUUCUUGGUGAGGGCUGAGAUUGUUUUCUUGUACAAUAACGGGGAAUAUGGCAUAUAAUUUUGGGUACUAAUUCAUAUUUAAGUCAAAAAAAAAUUAAGUUAAACGACGUCUGGAGGUGAGUUUCGGCAAAGAAGGGUGGAAAAUAGAGGUACUUAUAUAUUUAUCCUUAAUUUCUA